rnacentral:lncRNA from 1 species
CGUGCCCUCCCCGUUGCCACCCUCCCUCGAGCGCCUCAAUCUCAGCCACAACGCGCUGCAGGGGCCGGUGCCCGCGGCGCUGGGGUCACUGCACCGCCUCCAGGUGCUCAGUCUCGCCUACAACAACCUCACCGGAGCAAUCCCUGCCUCCCUUAGCAACCUCACCUCCCUCACCUCCCUCAGCCUCACCAGCAACAACCUCGCCGGCGCAAUACCUGCCUCCCUUGGCAACCUCACCUCCCUCACCAUCCUCGGCCUCGCCAGCAACAACCUUGCCGGCGCCAUCCCUGGCGCUCUCGGCAACCUCAAAGAUCUCACCGCCCUCUACCUCGGCCAGAACAUGCUCCAAGGAUCCAUACCUUCCACCCUCGGCAACCUCAAAGCUCUCACCGUCCUCUACCUCGGCAGCAACAUGCUCCAAGGAUCCAUACCUUCCGCCUUGUUUAACAUCUCCUCUCUCCAGAAACUUGGCGUGCAGAUCAACAACCUCACCGGGACUCUGCCCCCGAAUGGCAGGCUGCCCAGACUCACGUGGUUCGACGUUGACAACAACCGGCUACACGGUGCCAUCCCGCCGUCGCUCUGCAACCUCACCUCCCUCACCAUCCUCAGCCUCACCAGCAACAACCUCGCCGGCGCCAUCCCUGGCGCUCUCGGCAACCUCAAAGCUCUCACCGGCCUCUACCUCGACAACAACAUGCUCCAAGGAUCCAUACCUUCCACCGUGUUUAACAUCUCCUCUCUCCAGAAACUUGACGUGCAGAUGAACAACCUCACCGGGACUCUGCCCCCGAACGCCGGUGGCAGGCUGCCCAGACUCACGUCUUUCAACGUUGCCUCCAACCGGCUACACGGUGCCAUCCCGCCGUCGCUCUGCAACGCCUCCAAGCUGGAGUUGGCACAGAUGCUGAAUAAUUCCUUCUCCGGAGUCAUACCGAACUGCCUUGGAACUCACCUUAAGAACUUGUGGGCACUGACACUGGACUCCAACCAGCUGGAAGCAAAUGUUGAUGCUGACUGGGGAUUCAUGGAUAGUCUGACCAACUGCAGCAAUCUGAAGUACAUUGGCCUAUCUCAAAACAAGCUGGGAGGUGUGCUUCCUGGCUCGAUCGCAAACCUUUCGACGAGCAUGGAGGUCUUGAGCAUAUGGGGCAACAUGGUAAGCGGGCAAAUACCUCAGGAAAUCAGCAACCUUGUCAACCUGAACACCAUUGCUAUGAAUCUCAAUAAGCUUACUGGUAUUAUCCCUACCUCAAUUGGCAAACUUAACAAGCUGAGCAAGCUUAUCUUGUACGGCAACAAGCUAUCAGGGCAAAUCCCACCAACAAUUGGCAAUCUCACCGUGCUCACCGAAUUAUCCCUUGAUCACAACAUGCUCACGGGUCCCAUUCCUUCCAGUCUUGGUAGUUGCCCUUUGCAGACGCUGUCCCUGGAGCACAAUCGCCUUACUGGUCCAAUACCAAAAGAAGUUCUCCUCAUAUCCACGCUUUCCAUCUUCGUGAGUUUCCAAGGGAACAUGCUAGCUGGAUCGUUGCCAUCGGAAGUUGGUCACCUGAAAAAUCUUGUGACCCUUGAUGUGUCUGGAAAUAGGUUAACCGGGGAAAUCCCCAACUCUCUUGGCGAUUGCCAAAUCUUACAGUAUUGCUUUAUGAAAGGGAACAUGUUUCAAGGGAAAAUUCCAGAGUCAUUGGGACAACUGAAGGGCCUCUUGGUUCUUGAUCUUUCAAGAAACAACUUGUCUGGUCAUAUUCCAGACUUCUUUGGUAACGUGAAAGGUCUUCAACAACUGAAUAUCUCCUUCAAUAACUUUGAUGGUGAAGUCCCAAAGCAAGGAAUAUUUCUUAACGCCAGCGCGUUUUCAGUCGAGGGAAACUCUGGCCUCUGUGGAGGUAUUGCUCAGCUGAAAUUGCCACCUUGCUCAGAUAAUGGCAGCACUAGCAGCAAUAAGCGAUCACGCAAACUUGUCAUGAUAGUCUCUAUAGCCACUGCCUUUCUAGGAAUCUCCUUGCUCCUUGCACUAUGUGUAUUAUGUCAUCAAAGAAGGAAGUUGAUAAAGGCAGAACAUGCCUUACCACUCAUCAACGAUCAGUAUGCAAGGGUUUCAUAUGUCAACUUGAUGAAUGCAACAAAUAGUUUUGCUUCUGAAAACCUCAUAGGCAUUGGAAGCUUCGGCUCUGUUUACAAGGGAACAAUGAUAAGCCAUGACCAAGAAGUUGUUGUCGCUGUGAAGGUGCUCAACCUUCAGCAGCGAGGGGCGUCACAAAGUUUCAUUGCAGAAUGUGAGACUCUGAGAUGCGCUCGACAUCGGAACCUUGUGAAAAUCUUGACGGUGUGUUCAGGUAUUGAUUCCGGUGGCCUUGAUUUCAAAGCUAUUGUAUUUGAUUUCCUACCAAAUGGAAAUCUAGACCAGUGGCUACACCACCGUCUCAGGGAAUAUGGCACCCAUAGGAGGAUUGAUCUUGUCCAACGGAUAGACAUUGCCAUUCAUGUCGCUUCUGCACUCGAAUAUCUUCACCACUAUAAACCAACCCCGAUAGUUCAUUGUGAUCUCAAGCCAAGCAAUAUUCUCCUUGACAAUGACAUGGUUGCCCAUGUUGGUGAUUUUGGGCUCGCAAGAUUUGUGCAUCAAGACCAGACUAACCCCUCGGAUAUAUCAAGUGGUUGGGCUACAAGAAGGGGAACCAUUGGAUAUGCUCCUCCAGGUCAGGUUCUAACAAGUACACUGCAUUUUACUUUCAUGAUUGAUUGAAAAUUGAAAUCCACAAGCAAGUAAAAUGCAUUGCUCCUUUUUUCAUCAUUUAACAUUGUAACUGUAGCAUUGCUGAUAGUCUUCAUUUAGUUGCUGAAUAAUAUGUGUGUUCCAAACAGAGUAUGGACUGGGUAACGAAGUCUCAAUCUAUGGUGACAUGUACAGCUUCGGAGUACUAUUGUUGGAAAUUUUCACAGGAAAAAGACCAACAGAUAGCGACUUCGUGCAAGAUCUCAACCUUCAUAGGUACGUGCAAAUAGCACUGCAAGAUCAGCAAGUCACCAGUGUGGUAGACCAACAGUUACUGCCAGAGCAAGAUCCGGAACUCGAAGGGAGAACAAGCAGCUCCAGUAGCACCAGAGAAAUUAUAGUUGCCUGUGUUACUUCAAUUCUGCAUAUCGGAAUUCUGUGCUCGAAGGAACUUCCAACAGACCGCUUGCUGAUUGGUGAUGCCUUGAGAGAGCUUCACAGAAUCAAAGACAAUUAUAACCAGUUGCACUUAUUAGGUACAUAGAACUUUCUGAAACACAGGAUUUCCAUAUCCAGAAACAUUUUACAGUAUUCCGUGAUCAGAACAGAUACCAGGUCCUUGACUGCACUCAACCAAGUGCUGUGCUUUUUACUUUUAAAAAGACAUGAAACCAUAGGAUUGACGUUGCAUACACAAUGGACGCCAGUAUCGCAUCCACCUGCACAUCAGGGUCUAGAGUGCAUUGUUAGAUUAUCUUAAUAUAUGAUGUGGCCCAUGUAAUUAAAGAGAAUGAUUUUCAUAUGAAAAGAUCGCAGUGUGUGUUUCUUUGAAGAUCUAUGAAUGUUUUACUCCAAUUAUUCAGAGAUACGUUGUUUUGCUAUCUACAUACUAAUACAUACUCAUAAGGCAACUUUUUUGCAUCCAACUUCUACUCUGGCAUUAUGCGGUUAUGCCUGUCAUCAUGCAAUCUGCAGAAAUAGAUUAAUGGUAUAAAUGGAGGGAAAAGAGAGGUAAAGCUCUUGUUCCAAACCUGAUGAAGUUCUCAUCUGUCACCCAUAAUAAACUGUUCAGCAACAAAAACAUGCAUGGUGCAUUGUUAUAUUUUUAAAAGAAAUGAUGCAUCAUUAUGGAUUCUACUGCCUGCUGGCAUGUUUAACAAAUACUACAUUUUCUGCUUCACCAAUUCACUUUGUUCUUCUCAUGAACUUUUGAGCAAGAUCUUUGAGCGCUUGCCUCGAGUUAAGCACAACUUGAUCCUCACUAUCAAGAAGAUCAUCGAUAGCGCUCGCUGCCAGUUUUGCAUGUUCAGCAGCAAGGGACCUCGUCCUCUCGAUUCCCUGACUUUUUGAAAGGUAUUUGAGGGCCUACAAGUGUAAAAUUGAGCAGUUCUGAGACCACACUGGACAAUUUAUGAGCAUUUCACAACCCAAAUAGUUGGAUUAUAUUACUGGAAACAAAGAAAAGUACACUUUCCUUUUUAAAAAAAUACACUUGCAAUACAAACCGUCUUAACAUUUAAAGGGUCAUCAAAUCCCUGUUCAACAAUCUCAUGCACUUCAGGGAAUUCUUCCAUCGCAAAAAGUAUGGGAGCUGUCACAAUUCCCUGUCCAUACAGGGCAUAUUUGAUUCCUUACAUGUCAUUGAUAUCUUAAAAAGUAAAAUACUACUGAGGAAAUAUUGAGUGAAUAACUGUAUUACUUGAUGGUGUUAGACAUAUAUGUCUAGUACAGCCGUAUAUAGCUAGGCUAAUUAUAGUAUUCCUUGUAUAGGAUGUUUCUUGUACUCCAAGCCACAUUGGCUAUAUAUAUAAGAGGUCACCCCCCCCAUUGGGUGUGUGGUGUUUCCCCCAAUUCUAUCUCUCUACAUGGUAUCACGAGUCCGGGGUAUCUCUGAUUCUGUUCCUUCCCUUCCGCUGCCUCUCCACCCACCACCCGCCGCCGCCUGCCCUAGGGCGCGCCGCCGCCUGACCUAGGGCACGCCGCCGCCUGACCUAGGGCACGGCACCACCAUCCUGCGCUGCCUCUCCUCCGGCCGCGCCGGACCCUUGCAUGUCCACAGUCACCCACGUGGACUCCUCCGCCGGUGACAGCGACUCCGAUUCAUCCGGCGGAUUUUCUUCCCUCCUCGGCGACGCCGUCUCGACUGCGCAGAUCGUUCUCCCCAUGGCGCUUCCUUACGCUACGAUCUCUGUGCAGUCCUACGUCCCUAUGAAGCUCGACCUCCGCGCGGACAACUUCUCCAAGUGGAAGGCCUGCUUCGACGCCCUGUGUGGCACCUUCGGCCUGCUGUCCCACAUCGACGGGACGGCGCCUCCCAACCCCCUCACGCCGGCUUGGCUGCAGGAGGACUGCUGUGUCCGUUCCUGGAUCUACAGCACCGUCUCCGACGCCGUCCACGACUUCAUCAUGACUCCCGACCCGACGGCACGCAAGCAUUGGGCUGCCAUCACCGCCCGAUUCGAGGCGAACAAGGCGUCGCGCGCCAUCUUCCUGAGUCAGGCCUUCAUGACCCUGUCUCAGGGCGAUCUGUCCGUCGAGGCCUACGGCCAAGAGAUGAAGAAGGCGGCCGAUCGCCUCCGUGAUGUCGGCAAGCCUGUUGACGACCCCACCAUGGUGCUCAACCUCCUUCGCGGCGCCAAUCCCCGCUUCAGCACCACCUGCGACAUCAUCGCCGGCGACGCCACCAUGGACUUCGCCGGCGCCCUUGGGUGUGUGGUGUUUCCCCCAAUUCUAUCUCUCUACAGAUGGAUAUCAGACAAGGAGGCUUUGCCUAGUGAAGCUGAUGUGCCUGUGAAAUCGAGGAUGUCAUCGAUCAACUGAUAUGCUAUGCCCUGGAAGAGAGAGUGUAGGUCAUCUUAACAGUUCAUGUGUCUAGCAAAAAUAGGAACAGCUUCUGUGUAAGGAAAAAUACAACACACCAAGUGUCUGCCAUACUGAUAAGCAAGAGCUUGUACUUCUGUUGUUUGCUCAGCAAGGACAGCAAUAGCUUUGCAGCUGUUUGAAAUCAAUGCAGCUGUCUUGUAGUAUGUCUUCUGCAAAUAAUAGUCCAUGCUGUACAAGCAUCCAUGAACAGGUGUCACAUUAAGUAAAAUAUUAGAAAGUGUUGAUCGUCAUGGCUUGAUGAACUCAUCUAGCAUUCCUUUCUUUUCUUGAAUCUGCUCGAUCCAGAACAAGGUUAUCCAAGUUUUUAGUAAAUAGAUUAGCACCAAUGAUCUAUUUAAUUGUGAUUGGCAUUAUAUUAAGUAGUGAACAUUUUUCCUGGACUUUGAUUUGAUGAUAGUUGAUGAAAAGUAACGUCAGUACAUAUCCACUCUAAGCUAAACAGCUACUUGCACACAUAUGACAGCCCAAAUAUGAAGAGUUAAAGAAUCAACUGAGCAUAACAACACAUUCUAAGGCACUAAUCUGCUACCUCCACACUGACCCCACAUCAAACUGGACAAUAGCUUGAUGCAAGAAAAUGAUAAAAUGAAUUGGAUAUGUACCUGCAGCGCUGUGCUGGAGUUAUUGACAUCUGCAUAAGCUCACCAGUAACAAGAUUAUUUACAGCAGUUGCUAGUAAUGAUACAACCUGCAGAAUUAAAAAUAAUUUCGGUAUCUUGACGUUAUGAACAUGCAAAAGAUACAAACUGGAAAGGAACUGCCAUAAUCUGAUGUUGAAAGAAAUGGGCAAAGAUGCAGAGUGACAUGGCAGCUCACAUGCUAAAAACUAAAGUGAUUUUGUUCUUUCAGUUGUAUUUUUUUAGCCCCCACUCAUAGUCUAUUUUAUCCUCGAUAGCAACAUUCCCAACAAAGUCAAACAAAGAUGAAGGAAAGUAAUAUAACUUGUUAGCCUUUACAAAGGAGAAACAUCGCACCUCAGUAUUGUCAAGAGACACAGCUGCAGAAAAUGCCCUGAAAAGUAGGAAAUCGCCAGCCAAUACUGCAAACUGCAGGGUAGCAUCAGCUUUACUAACUGUUAUAAGGUAUUGUGAAUAUGACACAAGAUAUAGUUUGACUUGCAUUUUGCCAAGUUUACAGCAUGGCUUGGCGCUGCUUCCUUUUAUUUCUUUUAGAAGAACAUGGUCCAUACUUAUGAGAUGAGAAGAUGUGGAAAAUAAACAGAUACAACUAUUAUCAUUAUUCAUUUUCAGAGGUAUCAAACAGAAAAAUGGGCUUACUUGCACAUUAAAUAAGAAAUUGUUUAUAUUUUGGUCUCUAAGAACUACGGGAAAAAAAAGGCUAAACCAAAAUACUUUAAUUGAGCUACUGAACAGCAACUAAUUGAUGCCCACAUGUUUAUAUGUCCAUAUUUAAGAAUACAACUUUAAAUUAAGAUCCCUUGAAUUUCCUUUUCCAUUAAAAUUUUAUGAUAAGAAUGAUUACUGAACUAUUUGGCCCUAAAUAUACAAGUUAGCCAUUGUAGAAAAAGUAUAUGAUAUUACUUUCUUCCCCACUUUGAAGUUCAAUGAGUCCAUGCCACGCCUAGUAUCAGCAUCGUCCAAAACGUCAUCAUGAAUAAGGCUCGAUAUCUAAGAUGCAAGGGAGAAGACAAGUCACUAAAACAAAUAUUUCUGAAUGUUUCGGAAAGUGGAAUGAAACAAGACGCCUAAGAUGCGUACAUGAAUCAUUUCAGUUAUCUCAGCAAGAUGCAUAUGCCUUGCUCGAGGCUUAUUCUCUAAGCCAUCAGCUAUGCCCAUGCUUAUAGCUGAAGCCAUCAACAGUAGAACCUGAAACAUCAAUAGUCAGGAGCUUACAAUGGUGAAACUGAACGAGUAAAUUAUAUAUACUUGUGUCUACUAAAAAAAGUACAUAUCUAUGGUAUGAUGAUAAGAUACAAGAACACACUAUGAAAUCUGGUCUUACAGUAGGACAAGUUCUUUUCCCUUCAGCUCCAGCUCUGAAGAAGUAUCCAGCUGCUGAUGUCAGUUCAGGCACCUGUGGAGAUAACACAUAUAUUGAGUUCCAUACGCCAAAUAGCUCAUCCAAAAGCUUAAGCUAUUGGGAAAAGGUGGGUGAUGUAGUUUAUAGUAUUUCAUGGUACAGAAAAAAAAAGGGUGAAAGUAUCAUUAUAUAGUGUAAUUCAAGCAAAGAUUACAGUUAAAUUAUGCACCUCAGCAACCACCAUUGAGCGCAAUCGAUCUGUCACUUCAGAGACUUCAUCUUUAAUCAGCACAAAGGGGUCUAGCUGCUCCUACUACACAGAAAAAGGAAUGGUUUUGUUAGGAGAACAGAAUUCUGGCACAUGUGAUUGCCUUACAUGGUUGAGACAAGAGUGACAUGACUAUACAGUGACAAUAACAACCCAGUUGUUUGCCUUACUAUGCACUCAAUAGACUCACCACCCUCUGAUUCAUGCUUAAAUAGAAUAAAAUAAUCUUUGUAGCAUCAUGAUAAAGGAGUCUGUAUGACCAUAUCUACCUUAGCUGUUAGCCCUGCUUUUCUGGAAGAAUGAUCACUUGUGCUGUGAAAAUAACAUGAACUCCAAGUAAAUCUGUCCCAAUAGCACAUAUUCUGUGAAGCAAGAAGCCAAGAAGGUGGUGUCAAAGCAUUACAUAGUAUUGUGAAUUUAGGAUACUGGAAACAUUUGACAUGCGUGCAUACAUGUGGAUUAAAUUUGAAUGGGCAGUUGAAAUGCAUUGUAAACACAACCAAACUUAUGUUUGACUGCGGGAUGUUAGAGCAGCAUGUGAGUAUGGAUUCCACUUUUCUGGUAGCUGUGUUCUUGUAGCAAGUGGGCAUGGAUUUCCAGUUUUCCACUUCUCUGAUAACCAAUACAUGUGAAAGCAACGAAUAUGUUUAGAGGCCUAAGUCUGCCAAUAUUCCUUCAAUCCUGAAAGAAAUAAUCUUUCUUGUAAACUGCAUAAUUGUUACAGGGAGGAAGUCAACGCACUGCUUUGGUGUAGUAGCAAAAGGGAUGCAAGCUGCACAAAGGAUAUUAACAAGCUCUAACGUAGAAUGAUAAUCCAACUGCUACGCUGACAAAUCAGUGAAAUCGAAUGAACUAACCAAGAAUUCAUAAUGAAAUACAUUUCCUCCUCAUCAUGCUAAAAUGCUAAUACCAAGAAAAGGGAACCAUAGUUUUUAAGAGUAGAACAUGGUGAAGUAUCAGCGAAUCUGCAAAGGCAGCAUCUGCUACUGGAGCAGAUAAACUAACCAAUUCGCGUCGCGGUUCCAAACUAUUGAACAACAGUUGUCAAGCUCCCAUUUGCCACAAGCACUGCUGCAAUGACCCUACGUGCCGUUGCAUUGUGUACAGUUUUGCUCAAGCCUUAUGGAUGUUGUCACUAUGGCACUAAAGCUGCGGUGUACAUUUCAAUCCACGACAUAAUGCAACUCUGCAAGGUGGAGAUGCAAAAUUCUUACAUUAGCAUUUUAGUAAGUAUCUCCCACGAAACCGCAGAUCCAGAUUUGUUCUCCCUCUCAGUUAUCGGACAGCAACGCAUCGACGUGACAAAAAGAAACCUUUUGCAAAAUUACAGAGGGGCAAAGAAAAAGUAUCCCCAAAUGAAGAACUCAUAGAUGCGGGAUCCGUAAGUCUCACCGUUGGCAUUCGGGGAGCAGAGGAAGCGGUGGAGGCUGAGCGCAGGAGCCCAGCGAGAAGAAGCCGUCCCGGCAGCAUCAUGGCCGGUCCCAAUCGCCGGGGAGGCCGCCUGAGGCCUGGCCACCGCUGCCAGCGAGAUGCGUUGACCAGAGCCAAAUGCCCCGCUCAGCAGCACUGCAGCAGCAGUGGGCUUGCGGAAGGAAUGCCGAAUGCCCCGCUCUACUUUUUUUUUAAACAUUAUUUUCCCCUUUUAUUCUCUUUCUUUACUCUACUGAUUUUUUGGAAAUGACUAUAUUUCAAAAAUGUAUUUAAAUCGAACUUUAGUUAAAAUAUAUUUUUAAUAAGAAGUGAGUAUUACUGCAGGAGAAUAUAACGGUGGUGCCAGCGGUCUAUUUGAAAUGGUAUUGAAGGAUACUGAAUUUUAUUUUUUACAACAAUGGUGCGUAAUAUGUUGCAAAAAAAUCUACAUAUUAAUAUCAAUGUACACAUUUUAUUAAAAAAAUAGAUGAACACCCAAAAACAACCUGAGUACUAUGUAGGAUCUAGUUGUUGAAUUGAGUUGGAUGGAAUUGGAAAGUUCAUAAAACUUAUCAUGUGUUUUUUUAGUACUUAUCAUGAGUUAAAAAUCAUAAAAAAAUGUAGGAUCUAUUUUGGAGAGUCUGCAUGCGGUGUAUGCAAAAGGUGUGCCGUGAGUCUCUUCUCCGCAAGGUUUGUAAACUGUUUCUGCAAUUUUCGCUCUUUUUAAUAUAAUGAUGCGUUUUUUAUCAUAUACUUUUUAGAGCGUCGGUAACGUGAACCUCAAAGAGAACGAACUAGAUUCGCCAAACUGAAAGUUAGCCUAUUGCAUAUGCACGGUGUGUUCCAAACAGAGUUGAAGCCUCCGUAGCCGAUGCCAACAGAAAAAAGAAAAUUACGCGCAGAGAAUGGAGAAAUGAACAGAAACAAAGCUAGAGAGCGGGCGCCCGUGUGAUUGAGUUAACAUCAGGGUCCGAGUCCCAUGGUGUCUCCGGAACAAGGUUCCAAAAUAGAGCAUAAUACAGACAAAUCGAGAGGGAAAAAGCAUAUGGAAAAGCACACGAACUUUCUUUUUGUCACCAGAAAAAGCAUAUGUUUAGAAAGCAUAUUUUUCAUGCUUCCUAAACAUCGGUUGGCAGAGAUGGCAACACUUGACAGAAUUAGAAGGUAUGAACAACAUGAGCAUCUGAUCUCUUAGUUGACAAAAAUACAAAAGCCACCUCGGAUUUGAACAUGCUGCUAUUUCAGUGCACAUAGCCAUCUUGUUUCUUUUGCUGAUUCUAAAUUACAAGUUCCUGAUUACAGGAUUCCUAUUCUUUCCCUUCAUUUAAAAAGGAACAAACAAUUAGUUUGAUGCUUGACUACUUUAUGUUCACAGAAUAUUUCCUAGGCAGGGCAGAGCACGAUCUCUCACUACAUCACAGUAGUGCAAGUGUGAUAAAAUCGAGGAAUCCCCGGUCAUUAUCAGCUAUGAGGAGUAUAUAAAGUCACAAAACGAGCAUUAUCCUUGUAAUUUUUCUCUAAAAUGGUUAUAAAUAUUACAUGGUACAUGACCACCCACUUAAAAUUCUCACGGAACUUAAAAAAAGGUCUCAUGGAAAAAAAUUAACUACAAACUACUGAAAGAUGCAUUACAUUUUGCUAAAUGAGAUCAGCUGGCGAGAAACAAGCGACAGCAUACAAAAACUACAAAUGAGUGAUGUGUUAUACUAGUGCAAGUUCGUAGUUUACAACAUAGUACCUCUAAUUGUAAAUCAACAGAACAGAUUAAUGUAACUUUGCAACCUUCUUGCUAUGGCUUUGUGUAAUGCCCCGUUGCCAUCAACGACUCGCCGGCGACGUGAGCGCAAACACCAAUAGGAAUUAGGAGGUAGUUUCGAGAACUAUAGUUUUCAUUCACAAGUCAAUACUGAUUACAAUUGUUACCCAUCCGACACACUUAAUACCCUACACACAGGCUAACAGCCCGGCCCUACCUGUAUGUCACACACACAUACAAAACACACCACUCACUCCUGAAGACGUACUCCUAGCGCUGCUCCUUCUCAGUCACAACCGGGCAUUACAUCUCCCCCGGCUGCAGAAGUUGCUUGUCCCCAAGCAACGGCGUCAGGAAACCUGUGCUUGACAACAUAGAAAUCUUCCCAAGUAGAAGAAGUAGCAGGAAUGCCAGUCCACUUGACAAGAAUGUGAGGAAUUGCUCUGGAUCCCUUCUUGACCAGGCGGCAAUCAAGCACAGCUUCUGGUGACAGGUUUUGUACAGACAUAUCUGUCAAUUUAGGCAGCUCCUUGAAGACUGGGGUGUAGUUGGGUGUGAAUGGCUUGAGUUGAGACACAUGGAAAACUGGAUGAAUGAGGCUUCCCUCCGGCAAUUUCAACUUGUAUGCAGCCUGUCCCAUUUUCUGUUCCACCUCAAAUGGACCAAAGUAUUUGAAGGCAAGUUUGAGAUAACAUCUGGUUACCACUGACUGUUGUACAUAAGGCUGAAACUUGAGUAAAACUUGCUCUCCCACCUAAAAACUCAUGUCUACACGAUGGCGAUCUGCCUGAAGCUUAAAGCGAUUUUGUGCUGCAGCCAGGUGUUGUUUCAGAGAUGCUAGUUGUUGUUCUCGUUCUUGCAGGAACUCAACAGCUGGGUUUUGGUCUUGAGUCUCCAGAGGUAAAAAUGUGCCCAAAUCUUCUUCAUAACCAUACAAAGCCUUAAAAGGAGAGCAGUCCAAAGAAGUAUGGUAAUUAGAAUUGUACCAUAGUUCAGCCAAAGAGAACCAAGUUUUCCACUGUUUGGGUGAAUCUUGAACAGCACACCGAAGGUAUAUUUCAAGGCAUUGAUUCACACGCUCAGUUUGACCAUCUGUUUGAGGGUGGUAAGAUGAACUUCUGAGCAAUUUUGUAUCCACUAAUUUAAACAGUGCUGUCCAGAAAGUACUUGUGAAAAUCUUAUCUCUGUCAGAGACAAUUGUCCUGGGCAUGCCAUGUAAUUUGAUCACCUUGUCAAGUACCACUUUGGCCACUGCCUGGGCAUUGAAUGGGUGUUUGAGAGGGAUAAAGUGGCGCAUUUGGUGAAUCUAUCAACCACCAUUAAUAUGACAUUGCACCCUUCAGAUAGUGGCAAGCCUUCUAUAAAAUCCAUGAAAAUAUCCUGCCAAGCACCUUGAGGAAUAGGAAGGGUUGAAGCAAACCACCUGGAUGGUUGUGCUCAUGUUUUGCUUGCUAACGGAUGGUACACUGCUUCACAAAGUUGUCAACAUCAGUUUUCAUGCCUUUCCAAUAAAAGAGUUGCUUGACUCUGUAGUAUGUAGCUUUUGUUCCAGAGUGGCCUCCAAUAACACUAGUGUGUAAAGCAUCAAUUACUCUUGUUUGUAAUGCUGAAUUUGCAGCAAUCCAUAUUUUGUUGUUGAACUUGAUAAGGCCUUGAUGUAAUGAGAAACCUUGUUCAUCUGGGGAUUUGAUGGCUAGUCUGGUUAAUAAUUCUUGAGCUUGAGGAUCAGUAGCAUAAGAAUUGAGCUCCUCUUGGACCCAAACAGGUUGAGCUUCAGAAACAGCUUGUAUUGCUAAUAAAUAGAGAUGAUAAAGCAUCAGCUGCCAGAUUGUGUUUGCCGUUUCUGUAAAUUACUUUGAAUUGUAACCCCAUAAGCUUGGUCAUUGCCUUCCUUUGCAUUUCAGAAUGUAGAUUUUGUUCAUUGAGAUAGGAUAAGCUCUUGUGAUCUAUUCUAAUGACAAACUCUUGUCUCUGGAGAUAUGGCCUCCAUUUCUCUACAGCCAUUAUCAAAGCCAAAAACUCCUUUUCAUAGAUAGACAAUUUCUGAUGGGUGGGUCCUAGUGCUUUACUCAUAUAAGCCACAGGUUGGUCUCUUUGCAUCAAAAUAGCUCCCACUCCUGAGUCAAAAGCAUCUGUUUCGACAAUAAAUGGUUGAUUGAAAUUUGGAAUAGCUAAAACUGGAGCUAUUACCAUUGCCUCCUUUAGCUUGUCAAAUGUUGCUGGAGCUGUUGCAGACCACUCAAAUUGCUUCUUCUCAAGCCAUAAUGUUUGAUAGAAUUUUUUGUAGUAGCCUGUGAGACCCAAAAAGCCCCUCAACUCAGUUACAUUUGUGGGAAUUGGCCACUUUAGCAUUGCUUCUAUUUUUGCUAGAUCAGUAGCCACACCCUGAUCAGAGAUAAUGUGCCCCAAGUAUUCAAGCUGGCUUUGAGCAAAAGAAUAUUUGCUAUGUUUCAGGAAGAAGUGAUGCUGUCUGAAUUUCUCUAGAACAAGUCUGAGAUGCUGGAUAUGUAAUUCCAAGGUGGGGCUGUAAAUUAAUAUGUCAUCAAGAAACACCAGCACAAAUUUCCUGAGAAAAGGACCCAAAAGCUCAUUCAUAGUGCAUUGAAAGGUGGCUGGAGCAUUGGUAAGCCCAAAUGGCAAGACCCUAAACUGGUAAUGACCAUGGUGUGUCUUAAAAGUUGUUUUGUGUUCAUCACACUCUUUCAUUCUCACUUGGUGAUAACCAGCUCUCAUGUCUAAUUUAGUGAAAUAUUUUGUGCCAGCAAGUUCAUUCAAGAUUUCAUCAAUAAUUGGCAGAGGGAACCUAUUCUUGAUAGUAAUAUCAUUGAGUUUCCUAUAAUCCACACAAAAAAUGCCAAGUGUCAUCUUUCUUUUGGACUAAUAAGACAAGAGAAGCAUAAGGGCUGGUACUAGGAGUUAUAAGACCAGCAGCUAGAAGUUCUAUCACCUGCCUCUCAAUCUCAUUUUUGUGCGAUGGAGAAUAUCUAUAAGGUUUAGAGUUAACAGGGAUAGCACCUGGAGUGAUUGGAAUUGGAUGAUCAUAAACCCUGGAGGGAGGUAGCUCUUUAGGUUCAGCAAAUACAUCCUUAAAUUCAUCAAGGACCUCCUGAAUUUCUUCUAGCACAGAUGGUGAUGCUUGAUCUGGCAGAACCUUGACAAUAGCAAAAGCCCAUAUAUCAUUGCCAGCAUCCCAUUUAAGCAACUUAUCAGCUGAGAGCUCCUGAACAGCCAAAUUGUUUGAGUUGACCCCUUUAAUGGUGACAAGCUGCCCUUUGUACAUAAGUUCCAUGGUCUUGUGCUCCCAAUGGUGAGUGAUGGGACUGUUGAGUUUGAGCCAAUCAUAGCCUAAGAUGCAAUCAUAAGCAGCUAUAUCCAGAACUCUCAUAUCACAGCUGAAAGUGUGUCCCUGAAUCCAUCAUUCCAAUUGGGGUACCAUUUGAUCAGAAAUUAAUACCUCUCCAUUGGCUACCUUUACUGUCUUAGGUGGUGCAGGUAUGGAUUGUAUGCCAAGUUUCUUCAAAAAUGUGGAGCUAACAAAGCAAUGAGAACUACCACUGUCCACUAGCAUCAACAUAACUUUGUUUUUAACAAGAGCUCUUAAUCUCAUGACCUCCCCGUCAUCUGUUCCAGGAAUGGCAUUGAGAGAUAGAGUACCAAAAUCAGCUGCUAAGGCAUCCUCAAUGUCCAACUAUGUUAACACCUCUUCAGUUAAAUUGAUGUCCAAAUCAUUCAGCAUAAGGGCAUUUGCUUGAGCUUUGGGCCUCUUAGUGCACUUAGAAGCAUGAGUAGCAUCAUGUGGUUCUCUGCAAUAAAAGCACAAAUUAUGAGUUCUGCAAUAAUCCCUGAGCUGCCUUUCCUUAGAAAGUGGGGCAGAUGUGACUGGUUUGUGUUGGUCCAUUCUGGCAGAAGAUGAUGCAGCUGGCCAUCUUGUGCUGUUUGGAGUUUUCAGCCCUUUUUUGGUAUUUUUGUCUUGAAUCUAUUACUGUAUUUUAGCCAACAUUGCAGCUCUUUCCAUGGAAUGUGGGACUUGUCCUUGAACUGCAUAUCUGAGCUCUGGCUUUAACCCUCUAAUGAACUGGGAGAUAAAGUAAGUAUCAGGCAUGCCUCCACUAUGCAUGUCCACCUGAAACUGCAGAGCUUCAAAAGCAGCUGCAUAUUCUUCCACUGAACCUAUUUGCUUCAGGUCCAACAAUUCAUCGAUAGUAUGUUGGUAAUCAUAAGCUCCAAAUUUUUGCUCCACAACUUUGAUGAAUUGAUCCCAUGUCUCCACCAUAUUAUUUCUUUUGGAAACUCUAAACCACCUAGAAGCAUUUUCAUCCAUGUGCAUCACUGCUGUCAUAAUUUUCAUAUGGUCAGGGAUAUAAAAAAUCUGAAAGUAUGUUUCACACUUGUCACGCCAGAUUGUGGGGUCUUGUCCUUCAAACCUAGGGAAUUGCAUCUUCGGCAUGGAGCUCUUAUGCACAUAAGAAUUGUGCCCAGCAUGGCGACCACCAAAAGUAGAACGAGAAUUUUGGGGCUCACCAAAGACUGCAUGGUCUUAUCGAUGGUAAUUCUGACGGUGGUAAGCUGCAGCCGAUGGUGUAGAACUUCCCCCUUGUUCUGGAUCGUCUUUCCCCAUGUGCUCCAGCGUCAAUUUCGCCACCGCCUGACCAGUGGCCUCCAACUGCUGUGCCAUAAGUUGCUGCUCCCGCAUGGACAGAUCAACCGCCUUGCUGUUGAUAUCAAGCUUCACCUGCAUCUGUUGCUGAGUGAUGGUGAGGUCUUCCAUUUUGGAGAACAACAAAUCCACAGACUCCAUCAGCUUGUCCAAUUUCGCAUCUGUCUUGGCAUACCCCUCCGCCAUUGCGUCGAGCACAAACUGGGACUGCACGGAAGGUUUUGGUGGAGCUGUGGUGAACUGCCCGCAAAUCGAGUCGAGGUAGAAUGGGAAUUACGGGAAAUCAAUCGCCGUCGCCGGUGCCGCGCGGCAAACGACGGGAUCUCAGCAGACCCACUCCGGUUUCGAGCUCAGAUCGACGGAGUAUUGCAAUUCAACGCACGAGCAACCGAUCCAAACCCUAACGCACCAGAAUCGCCCGUAGGAAUAAGGAAUUGCUGGGAAGGCACCUGAAUUGAGAAGAAAAGACACCGCCGCCGUGCGCCGCCUGCUCAGCCCGCCACUGCGCGCCGCCGCCGCACCGAACCGCCCCCCCCCCCCAACCCCCAAAAAAAAUUCAAUUGGUGAAGAAAAACAGGUUUUUAUACCCACCGGAAUGUUCCNNNNNNNNNNNNNNNNNNNNNNNNNNNNNNNNNNNNNNNNNNNNNNNNNNNNNNNNNNNNNNNNNNNNNNNNNNNNNNNNNNNNNNNNNNNNNNNNNNNNCCCCCCCCCCCCCCCCCACACACACACACACGCUGAGGAAGACAAGUCUCUGAUACCGACUGUAAUGUCCCGUUGCUAUCGACGACUCGCCGGCGACGUGAGCGCAAACACCAAUCGGAAUCAGGAGGUAGUUUGGGAAAGGAACCUGAACCUCGAGAACCAGAGUUUUCAUUCACAAGUCAGGCCAUGUUUAGUUCACUCCAUAAUUCCAACUUUGGCACUACGCAAAAGGAAGAUUCCUCAUCACAUCAAACUUGCGGUACAUGUAUGGAGUACUGAAUGUAGACGAAAUCAAAAACUAAUUGCACAGUUUUGUUGUACUUUGCGAGACGAAUCUUUUGAGCCUAAUUAGUCAAUAUUUGGACAAUAAUUCACAAAUACAAACGAAACGCUACAGUGUUGCUACAGUAAUUUUAACACCCCAAAGUUGGGCAACUAAACAAGGCCUCAAUACUGAUUACAAUUGUUACCCAUCCGACACACUUAAUACCCCACACACAGGCUGACAGCCCGGCCCUACCUGUAUGUCACACAUGCAUACAAAACACACCACUCACUCCUGAAGAUGUACUCCUAGCGCUGCGCCUUCUCAGUCACAACCGGGCAUUACACUGCUCCGUCGAUAUAGGAUUUUAAUUUUAUGCUUGUCAUAGCCAUAGCAAAUAUUUGAUGUGUUCCCUAGAACAUCCCAUUUCCAGUCUUUUAUUCCUCAUUUCCCUUAUCCAUCCACGUUAGAUGAUUUAGAAGUUCAGAUGUAGCUGGCUAGCUAUGCACCGACUUUCCUUUUCUUUCUGAAUCCAAUCCACAAUCGUCCCUCGCAGCUGGACAGGCGCAUGUACAAACCACAGGUUGAGGAAUUGAAAGAUCACAUUUGUCCGUCUCCCUAUCUCUUGGUCAUGGCAUAGCAACAUCUUUCCUUCCCUAGGUCCCUGAAAAGUUCUCCAUGGCCGCAUGCUUGUUCUCUGUGAGCUCAUGCUUGCCUUCUCAAUCAUAAUGUAUGAAGCACCGUGUUUUAAUUUCCAAAGCAUUUGGUAGACUGUCGCUUCGUCAUUCUUGCAGAAGUAAUCUAUUGCCUUUGGCAGCAUGAUCUCUUCAAGUUGCCCCAAGGUGAAGUUCACAUGCAAGGAAUGCUGCUCCUCACUGUAGAUUGCCGGUAUUGCAGGACUCCUAUCUACAAGUAGAAUGUCUUCUAAAUGCCCAUGGGGCGUCAAAAGGACUCCAACUUUCAGAUAUGGAGAAUCUUGUACAGAAUUUUUGGUUUCAAACAAUAAGGACCUAUGUUGGAUGCACUCUGAGAGCGAGACAUAGCACUGCAGAUGUACUUCAAUAACUGGUUCUAGAAAGGCACCUAGUAAUCUUGACUUGUUUAACUCCGUACCGUGAUAGAGCUUGUGCUGAACAUUCUGCUUGCAACAUAACGGGUUUGGGCGAAACCAAUCAGUGCCAAAGUUGUGAAGAUUGUCCCAAUGUUCUUUGUGGUGUGUAUCAACAACUGGCACCCAUGAGAAGUGUUCUGUAGGUAGUUGCAUAAGUUCUUUCGUAAUGGUUUCAACUGUAGACUUGAAAAUAGGGCCAUACAGCUGUAGGCACUUAAUUGCAGUCCCUACUAUGUCUGUACUCUCUGAAAGCUGUAGCAUUAAAGAAAGGAAAAAGUCAUCUUCUGAAACAUUACCAUCUGUCCGAAUGAAGAUGAGUCUAGCCUCUAUUCCAUGAUCUGAAGUUAUAUAGGGCACCAACUGUAGAAACAAAGGGCACUUGUUUGCUCGAAUGAUUCUGUGCUGUAGUUUCUUGCAUGCAAGAAGGUGCAUGAUAAGAGGGUCAAAGGGCAUGUGACAACGUGGCGUACCACCAAGCUCUACUAAUCUCAGAAACUCUCUAGCCCCAUCUGCUAACCACUCAAAUCUUCGAGCAAUGGAACUGUUCGACUCAUCUUUGUUGAAGCUGAUGACGGAGAAGACAAAUGACUUAGUAGUAUGUGCCAUACGCACAGGAAAUGAGGAAUUCCUCACCCUCUUUUCUGUCUCUACAUCUUCCAGGAUCCUCUGUUUGCAUUUGUGCAGCGUGUCAUCGCACUCUUGGGCAGCACGCUUCAGCUUCCUGCGCCAACGCAACAAGGAUGCAUCAGUGAUCUGCCACUUUCCUGACACCUCAAGAGCAGCCUCUAGCCUGAUGUUUGCCAUCUCUAGCCUCUCCAAGUUUCUGUUCGCAUUAGAUUCCUCUUUAUCCCCAUAAUUUUGAACCAGACUAGAUAGGAUUUGGCUAACUGUCUCGUUGACAACUGCAGAACUGACGAUCUCCGCCAUCGGGAUUCAAGGAUCUGUAGUAUCCCUUCCCUGUUCAGGAAAUUCAACACAAAACAGCAAACAUGAGAGACAAAAAUAUAUGAACUUUGGAUCACAAGCAAAGAUUUAGCUUAGCAGCUGUAAAGAACCUACCUUUGACUGGAUCACAUGGGCAGCUAUCCUCUGUAUGUAGGGAUAUCUCGAGGGUAAAAUCAUACAGUGAGGGGCAUGAUGAGAACUUAGAGAGAAUUCAGGGAUAGCAAAGGCUUCGACGGGGAGAAAACAAGGUAUGCAAGCCAAUGAGGAGGGAUGUGGAGGGUCUGGUCUUACCAAGGGAAAAAGAGGUAGGCAGGCAGGUCCCUCAGGAUUUCAGGAAGAAUUAUUUGACUUGUUGUGGAAAAUCAAAUGAAGAUCGGUGCGAAUGCAUGUGUGAUGACUAACCACAGGAAAAGAAAGUGAGACGCAACUUGAGAAUAUUUUGGAAUGUCUUGGUCUUGUAGAUAAAACAAUACAAAAACUUGGAAGUUCCUUUUUACGAGUCUUGGUCAGCAGUGGACAAGGAACUUGGAAAAACCUUGGGCGCUUGUCAGUGGCAAUUUCUAGUAUAUGACGCCAAUGUUGAAGUCUUUGUAAGGGCCCCUUAAGCAGGCGGCGCUAGGGUUGAUGAAUCCCUUUGCGGCGAGAGGGCGGAAAGAGGUAGGCCACGGCCAACAUGGGGGAAUGGGUGGAUCCGGCGGGAGACGCACCUGAUUCAGCGGCGCCUUUCCUCAUAUCCUCUGCCGCUGGUGCCCUCUGGUUGCCGCUGCGGCGCGCCCCAGCACCGCGGUGUCGCUGCGAGGCCUAGGCUCUCGCCGGCCGAGCGCGUGGCCUUCCGCUUCGCUGGCUCCGCGCCGUUGCGGAUCUCGCCGUUGCUGCCCGUCAUGUUUCCGCCGCCGCCGCCGACCCGGUGCUCCGUUUCCACUGCAGACGAGCUCCUCAUACCCCAGGCGACCGAUUCCGACACGUUCCAGUCUCCUCCACUUGCUCCUGCUCCGCUGGCCUGAGGCUCCAGGAGCUCGGCCAUGGCCGGCAGGAAUCCGAUCAGAGCAGCAGCGCGCCGCUCUGUCUCCAUCUCUCCGACCCGUGUCUCUUGGGCCUAAAGGCCCGUAAUCCCCUUGAAAAGCCCACUUAACAAUUGUGGCUGCCAAAUCUCAGCCCAUAAGCUACAGGUCAGAGAGGCAUGAAAUCUUGUCGAUCUUCCAAAGAUUUUAAACUCAUGCGUAUGUUUAAAAUUCGUGUCACAGCAGAUGGACGACUCAUAUUAGGUGGGGAUGCAAGCCAACCAGCCAGCAUCAUUUGUUGAUCACAUAGCACAUAUGUGUGCAGCUAAUUAAUUUUCUUUUUUAUUUUGAUGUGUUUCACAUAGCACAUAUGUAUAACUUAUCAUAUGUAUUAGAUCCUGACUUUUACAUGUAUACAUGCUUCAAAGCUUUGUUAAAAUUGAUUUAAAAAUUUACGAAACCUAAUUCCAUAUGUUCAUAAAAUGUGAUUCAACAUUAAUCUAGCCAUUAGCCAUGGUGGGCACUUAGAGUGGCACGCUAGAGAAGAUUGAUAUGAAGUUGAGGAUUUUCUUUCAAACAAUAUAAAAAGAAUGAUGCUUUUCAAGUAAAGAUACGCAGCUGACUAAUUUUCCUUUUAUUUUUAUGUGUUUCUUUGUUCUAAUAUGUAUAACUAAUCAUAUCUAUUACUACCUCCGUUUCAAAAUAUUAAUCAUUUUAGCUUUUCUAGAUAUAUAGGCUCAGCUAUGUAUCUAGACAUACUCCGUAAGUCUAUAUUUAGGUGUGUAGCAUCUAGAAAAGGUAAAACGACUUACACUUUGGAACAAAAGGAGUAGGUUCCAAUUUUUACAUUUAAACAUGCUUCAACGUUAUGUUAAACUUGAUUUGGGAAAGAUUGAUACGAAUAUAUUUAAGGAUUUUAUAUGGAGUGCGUGCCAUGUUAAAUUUUAAAUACUAAACUUUUGGGAUUAUUAUUGGACCUAUGACAAUUGGCAGAGGUUGGAGACGCUUCCAAAGGGGUGGGGGCGCAACCUAACAGAUUUGGUACGCAAGCUUUGGCCAUGACCAACCUCCAACCUUCGCCCUGCCAACAAACAUAUAUGGACUGUAUUUAAUGGGGCAGCUGAGACUCGACGUCGGCGAAGUCGAGCCGAUGUGGAGCGAGCCGCACUAGAUCAUACACAGAGAUGGAUUGGGCGGUCGGCAUGCAUGACCAAAUAGACCCGAGCAUUUUAAGCCCAACCCGAUCCUGAUGGGUUUUGGCACGCUCACGUUAGCUGUCGAGUCGGGCAUGUUCAACGAAAAUCAAGCUCAAAAAAAAAUCGGGCUGGCCCGAGCCACCCAAGCAAUUAAUUUUAUUUAUUUUUCAACUAAAAAAGAAGGCCUGAUCUAAGCCCAGCCCGAACCCAGCCCAAAAACUCGGCCUGACAACAUCCAUGGGAUGUUCGUGAGCACAAAUUUUCAGCCCAAAAUGAACCGGACUUUUUACCAGCCCAGCCCGCAAAAUGCUCAUGUCUACCUCCAAGCUUCGCCCUGCCAACAAACAUAUAUGGAUUGUAUUUAAAUUUUUUUUGAAUUGGAUUGGAUAUUAGACAGUUUGUAUUGGACUUGGAUUGUUUUACGUGGUUUUAACUGGACUUGGAUUGGGUUUGGAUUGCUUUACGUGGUUUUAACUAGACUUGUUCAUUUGGACUGGGAUUGCAAUGUUAUUACUUACUAGGAAAUAUGCCUGUGCGUUGCACGGGAGGAAAAAAGCAUCGCACAUCCCAAUACACAUGGCGCAAAAUUUGGGUGAUAAUUUGAUGUUGUUUGUCAAUUUUCAAUUAGGCCAAAUAGAAUUGCUAAAUUAUUGAAUAUAUUUUUUUUUCUUCCUUCAUUUUUUUUAUCUUUGGCGUUUGUUUCUUUUAUAGCAAAUAUGCCCGUGCGUUGCAAUGGGAGCCUCUAUAUAUCAUCAGCGAUGCACCCCUACAUAUAUCCUCUCUUAUCGACAGUGGCGACUGACGUUCAUAGUUUCUCACGAAGCUCACACUUGCAUAUAUCCAUCCUCGUUAGCCUUGGCUUUGCUUCUUUGAACGUUGUUGUUCGGUAGGCUUCACCAAGCUUGUAUGCAAUUCAUCAGUGAUGCCUUCCGCAGUCUCCCACCAAUUGGUUCUUGUCUUCAUUUUCCUUUUUUCUCUUCUUCCCUACCCAUCCGCAACAGAGCUCUCAUUCCUUGAUGGUGCAAAACAACUAACAGAAUAAAAUUACCUGUUGUAUUAUGAUAUUUUUGGUAUUGGGGUGACCUAACUUUUUAUUCUCGUUUGUAGGCCCAAUCCAUUCAGCCUAGCCCAUUUUUAAUCCAAAUCCAUAUCAUUAGCGUUAAUAAAAGUAUUUUUAUUGCAACAAAGUAUUAGCUUUACAAAACAUAUUUAUUACACCCUUCCAUGUUCCAUACAUACAUAUACACAAUCUAACAUAUAUAGAUUUCUAGUAUCCAGAAGCCUUGUAACAGUGCGUUCAUCACUUUUAUAGGUCAGCUUUAGCUUCAGCGAAUCAGCCUAAUUUGUUGCUUUUGCAUUAGCUGCUGUUGAGGUCAUCCUCUUCUACAGCCGGUUUUGCUUAAGGUAUCUGCAACAAGAGAAACUGUAUGGUUUCAGAUAGAGGCAAUUUUUCAUGAAAGAGGGUACAUAUUCAGGGUACGGAUUCAAUUUCCCACAAAGAUAUGUUAAAAUCAGAUUACUUCAUAUGUGAAGAUACUUCAAUUUUCCACUAUCAACAUAUCUUACCUGUAGUAUACAAUUAUUCUUUUGUCAUAUGUGAAGAUACUUCAUAUUUAUCUGAAUUUUGCCAGUGUGAAAUCUUCUUUCAGUACUGCAAGGUCAGAAUAGAAUCAGUGAGAAUGAUAAGGCUUCAAGAAACAUAUUUGAUGAAAUUAUCAAUAAAAUUGCUAGUGACGUUCCUGCAAGGAAGACUACUAUCACACUGAUUGCUACACUGGCAGAUGCUUGAUUCGGAUGACCAGCAGUAGAGAUAAGCCACUAAAACAGUUAAUUCAAGCGAGGCAACAAUACAAGCAAAACACUUCAUGAUGUAAAGACUUUGCAUUACAUAUAGCUUACUAUCCCACAAGGAACACUGAAUACUGGAGAAUAGCUAAACUCUGCAUAUAAUCAGUGCAAGUACAUGUACCAUCUACAGCAACAGUAAUUAAGAAGCAAUAAACAAGUUGCAGUCCAAUUAAGAAAUACGAGAAUCUCAUGCAGUAUGUAAACCUACAUGGCAGUAUCACCAUAAAGAGAGCAGCAUCAGGCUAGUAGCAGCAACUCACGUGCUAGAUCUUGCCUCUAAUCUCCAUUUUUCCCCAAAUCAGAUAAAGCAUCCAAGCCACAACAGUGCAUCCCAUGCUAUUCCUCAGGCCAAGCGCCAGAGAAGCUCAAUCUGUAGCAGUCCAGGGGUGCAGGCGGAUUAAAGUGGAGUUGCAAAAAAGGGAGAAAGUGGAGUAGCUCGUGGCUGUACCUGUAGAUUGCUGCUUGAGAGAGGAGGCAGUUAGGCAGCGGCCCCUGCUGCUCGACGGAGGGAGAGGCAGCCGCUGUUCCCGGAGGGGUGACCACUGCUUGGCCAACAGGCUUGGCCUAUUGGCCACAGGAGCACAAGGGCAGAAGCCCGCCGCGAGCGGAGGCACGCGGGGUCGCCGGCAAGGGAGGGCGGUCGCGCACCGUAGGCAGCUUGGGACUGGGGUUGUGCGCAGCUGCCGGCGAGGCAAGAGUGGCUUGCGCUAGCAGGCAGCCAGGGUGUGGUGCCAGCGGCGGCGGCAUGGGAGAAUAGCCGGUGCACCAUGCCAGAUCCAGAUGGAGGAUGAGGAGGCGGCCCGCGGGGCUUUUUUUUUGCAAAAUCAUGAAGAACUACUCCAACGACUAUGGGUUUGAUUAAAAAAAAGUUAAGGGGUUUUUUUUGCAAAACGAUCGUGACGGUUAGAAGAAACAACCGCUCUUUUAUAUCUAUACCUAUUAUUAAAGUAAGCAACAUCUCUGCCACGAUUUUCAUACGUCACCCUAAUCUUGCAAAAAAGGUCCUGACAUUUCGUGAAAUCAACCCGCAGUCCAAAUUCUGAAGAGAAGAGGGCCUCGGGUGUUAAAGGGAGGGAAGAGAGGGGGUUAAAGGGAAAAAGCUUCUCCUUCCUUUAAUAAUAGGUAUAGAUAUAAAAGAACCAUACAUAAAUACCUCAUCUCCCAAGCCUACUAUAAAUAAAUAUCUAACCUCAUUAGCUAUUCGAAAUGAUGUAUCAUGGUCCGUAGAUUGUUGAAUUAGUUGGACGAAAAUGUUGAAACAGGCAGCAGCCAGUCGGACUACCAAUCCUGCGCGUAUGCCCUGUGGCCUGACUAAGAGGAUCUGGACUACCAGUAUUCGUAUAAAGAAACUUUCAUCCAACUGGAUGUUGGAGGAUGACCCGUGGAUAUGGUCGUCAACAAAGUUGACUCACUGACUUGGAAAUUGACCUCAUUGACUUAGUGACUUGGAAGAAGACCUCAUUGACUUCUUAGUGACUUGAAAAUUAGGCUAAGUUGGAAGAAGACCUCAUUGACUUGGUGACUUGGAAAUUAGAGACUUGCGAGAUUGAAUCGGCAUUUUAAAUAGCCUUGUUAUUACUCGCUGCAUCAAGGAGCACAGAGCCAAGCUAUGCGGACAGCCAUGGAGCACCAUUGCUCCAUCCUACUCGUAGCCUCCCUCCUCCUUGCAUCUCCAGCAUGGACAUCGGCCUCCGCGGGAAGUGACGGCACCGGCGCUGACCACCGUGCGCUCAUGCAGUUCCGGUCCCUCAUCACGGACGACCCAUACAGGGCCUUGGCAUCAUGGGGCGCCGGCAACAUGACCGCGCCGGCGCCGUGCGGGUGGCACGGCGUCACGUGCGGGGUGCGCGGGCGCCGCCGCAGCCGCGUGACAGCGCUGGACCUCCACGGGCUCGGCCUGGCCAGCUCCGGCACCGCGGCUCCUUCAUCCCUCUCGGGCCUCACCUACCUCCGGCGACUCGACCUCUCCAGGAACCGCCUCGGCGGCGGCGUGCCCUCCCCGUUGCCGCCCUCCCUCGAGCACCUCAAUCUCAGCCACAACGUGCUGCAGGGGCCGGUGCCCCCAGCGCUGGGGUCACUGCACCGCCUCCAGAAGCUCAGUCUCAGCUACAACAACCUCACCGGAGCAAUCCCUGCCUCCCUUGGCAACCUCACCUCCCUCACCAUCCUCGGCCUCGCCAACAACAACCUUGCCGGCGCCAUCCCUGGCGCUCUCGGCAACCUCAAAGCUCUCACCGGCCUCUACCUCUCCAGCAAUAACCUCACCGGAGCAAUCCCUGCCUCCCUUGGCAACCUCACCUCCCUCACCAUCCUCGGCCUCGCCAGCAACAACCUCGCCGACGCCAUCCCUGGCAGUCUCGGCAACCUCAAAGCUCUCACCGGCCUCUACCUCAACCAGAACAUGCUCCAAGGAUCCAUACCUUCCGCCAUGUUUAACAUCUCCUCUCUCCAGGAUCUUAACGUGCAGUUCAACAACCUCACCGGAGCAAUCCCUGCCUCCCUUGGCAACCUCACCUCCCUCACCAUCCUCAGCCUCACCAGCAACAACCUUGCCGGCGCCAUCCCUGGCGCUCUCGGCAACCUCGAAGCUCUCACCGACCUCUACCUCGCCCGCAACAACCUCACCGGAGCAAUCCCUGCCUCCCUUGGCAACCUCACCUCCCUCACCAUCCUCAGCCUCGCCAGCAACAACCUGCCGGCGCCAUCCCUGGCGCUCUCGGCAACCUCAAAGCUCUCACCGGCCUCUACCUCUCCAGCAAUAACCUCACCGGAGCAAUCCCUGCCUCCCUUGGCAACCUCACCUCCCUCACCAUCCUCGGCCUCGCCAACAACAACCUCGCCGACGCCAUCCCUGGCAGUCUCGGCAACCUCAAAGCUCUCACCGGCCUCUACCUCAACCAGAACAUGCUCCAAGGAUCCAUACCUUCCGCCAUGUUUAACAUCUCCUCUCUCCAGGAUCUUAACGUGCAGUUCAACAACCUCACCGGAGCAAUCCCUGCCUCCCUUGGCAACCUCACCUCCCUCACCAUCCUCAGCCUCACCAGCAACAACCUCGCCGGCGCCAUUCCUAGCGCUCUCGGCAACCUCGAAGCUCUCACCGGCCUCUACCUCGGCUUCAACAUGCUCCAAGGAUCCAUACCUUCCACCCUGGGCAACCUCAAAGCUCUCACCGGCCUCUUCCUUCACUACAACAUGCUCCAAGGAUCCAUACCUUCCGCCGUGUUUAACAUCUCCUCUCUCCAAAAACUUGACGUGCAGAUGAACAACCUCACCGGGACUCUGCCCCCGAACGCCGGUGGCAGGCUGCCCAGACUCACGUGGUUCGCCGUUAACAACAACCGGCUA